UACGAAGGGGGGCUAGCGUUGUUCGGAAUUACUGGGCGUAAAGCGCACGUAGGCGGACUAUUAAGUCAGGGGUGAAAUCCCGGGGCUCAACCCCGGAACUGCCUUUGAUACUGGUAGUCUCGAGUCCGGAAGAGGUGAGUGGAAUUCCGAGUGUAGAGGUGAAAUUCGUAGAUAUUCGGAGGAACACCAGUGGCGAAGGCGGCUCACUGGUCCGGUACUGACGCUGAGGUGCGAAAGCGUGGGGAGCAAACAGGG
rnacentral:rRNA from 1 species